UGCGUUUUUAAAGAAAAAAUACAAGUUACAAAUCAAUAUGUUACAAAUCAAGAAGUUUGACAAGUCUAGAAGUUUUACAAAUCUAGAAUAAAAUAGUUUCACAAUAUUCCACACGAUGUCGCUGUGGAGCCCUGUCAACUCGUACCUUCGCAAACUCGUACCCAAUAUUUACCAACUCGUAUUUCUACCACAAUAUAUCUCAACUUAAA
rnacentral:lncRNA from 1 species